UGGGGAAUUUUGCGCAAUGGACGAAAGUCUGACGCAGCCACGCCGCGUGCAGGAAGACACCCCUCAGGGGCGUAAACUGCUUUUGUACGGGAAGAACACCCCGCCUCGGCGGGGUCUGACGGUACCGUACGAAUAAGGACCGCCUAACUCCGUGCCAGCAGCCGCGGUAAUACGGAGGGUCCAAGCGUUGUCCGGAAUCACUGGGUGUAAAGGGUGCGCAGGCGGGCCUGUAAGUCAGGGGUGAAAGCCACCGGCCUAACCGGUGAAUUGCCCUUGAUACUGCAGGUCUUGAGUCCCGGGGAGGCUAUCGGAAUUCGUGGUGUAGCGGUGAAAUGCGUAAAUAUCACGAGGAACACCUGAUGCGUAGGCGGAUAGCUGGACGGGUACUGAUGCUCAGGCACGAAAGCGUGGGGAGCAAACAGGAUUAGAUACCCCCGUAGUCC
rnacentral:rRNA from 1 species